UUAACUUCUCUUUCCAAGAAAUUUAGUGUUUACUAUCAUUUUAGCAAAGUUAAAUUUAUUCGUGAAUCAAGAGUACAGUGUUUUGCUUUGGGUUAGAGGUACAUUUUCAAAAAGGUGAAUAAUGUAAACUAGAAAUAAAAUAAAUUAAACAAGGAAAAUACUUGGAGCAAAUCUGUAAUAAGAGUUGAGUACUAAAUCCUUCUAGUUAUAGGCAGGAUAUGACCGAGCUCGAGUACAAUAACGAGAAAAUAGUAAAAAAAACUAAAGGAAAUAAAGAACCUUAAGACGAAAGGUAAAGAUAUUUUAUUGUUUACAGAAAAAGGAUAAAGAAAAAAUCAAAUCCUUUAUAAUGGGGGGAGGUGUCACUCUUGUUUCUAUCAUUGGAGAGCAACCAAUUCACAACUCUGUGUCAGAAACGGUUCUACUAAGGAUUUUUGGUGACUUAUAUAAUUUUUGACGCAUCAUACUUUUAUUUGUUUUUUAAUGCGUGGUCACUAUCCUAGUUGGUCUCGGGCGCCUCUACUUUUUUCUUGAAUGUGUGUCUCAACAUGCCAAAUCUAUUAUUAAUAUGGUUCGGGUGUGUGAUGGCUUCACUCAUAUCCGACCCAAGGUGGCCCAAUUAACCCAAAUCUAGCCUUAGGCAUUUUCACCCCAUAUAGAAAGUCCCUACAUAUUUGGGCACGACAUCUGCUAUGAAUGAAUGACAAAAAAGAAGCGAUUUACAUUAUUGCAGCUAUUUUCCCUUUUUCUCUUCCCUUUCCACAUGCUUGUUAGUGAUUGGCACUCUCUUUAUCUACAGAGUCUUUUUCCACAUGCCCGAUCCUUGUGAAUCUUUCUUUACCACGUUGCUAUUUCAUUUGGACUUGUCUAUUCCUUCAUUCCAGCAGUCCCACCUUUUAAUACUUUUACUUCUUCUGUAAAUUAAUCUUACCGAUCAUUCUCAAUUCGCUCCCUUUCACUUAUGACCAAAAUAAAAAAUACACUUUUAAUAUCUGGCUCACCUAAGGGAAAGAAGAGACCAAAAUGCCUCCCAACAAGAGCUUUGUGUUGAUGACAUGAUGCCCGUCGAUUUUAAAUUCCCAGAGAAUUUCACUUAAUAGGCAGGUGAUGAGACCCUUAAGCCAGUUUGCAAGUUGGGUUCCCUCAUAAAAGAUAAUAUUAUCUAUAAUAUUGUCAAGGAUUGUGAUAGGACAGAGAUGAGGGUAAAAGUAAGUGCCCCAAGACCUAUAGACACUAGCAGUCCAUUCGAUCAGGCAUAUAUUUUAUCUAUAUGUACCCAUUCAAUGUCGACGUUGGGUGAUCCAAUUGACGAGGUGAUUGCCUACUUUUGUAAUACCUUCCAUUCAUCUCUUGGUCAACUGAACCCUAGGGUGUGGCAAACUAUUGCUUUCCUCAGCGCUCUUGCCUAUAUGUCAGGUGUUAGUUUUUUCUUAACAUAUCUUCCAAUGCUCUAUUCUUUUCGCUUCUCAUGGGAGGUUUAAUCAAAUUGAAUCAUUAGGGGAAGAAGGCGAUAAUAAAUGACCUAGAUGACUCUCAAGAUCGUGGAUGGACAAAUUGCUUUGUUUUUGUACCCUUGAAGGAGCUUUCAUUCAGGGGCGGAUCUCACAUUGCCAUCUUUUUUCCUCAAGCCAGCAUUACCAUGGCCAAAUUCCUUCUAUGACAAUGGUUUAAAAAAAGAAACUAUUGGCUAAGCUUUCUGGUCUAGAGGGUUCUCAGGCUAACCUACAAGGGUCGACCUCAUUUUUAAGGCCUUGAUCAAUCGGAUGUUUGAGGUCAAGGAGCUCAUGAUAGAGUUACUUGCAAUUCAGUCUAAAAGGGAUAAGUAUUGAAAGGAUGCCAUCCUACACGCCAAACAGGCAGAUGUUUCUCAUUAGAGAAAUUUUCUUGGCUCCAAUCAAAUUGGGUAGCUUCUAAAAGAACAAGAUGAGCUGAAAAAGUAGAUCUAUUCCACCUACUUAGCCCUUCCCUACUCUGAGGAAAGCUCUCAUUGUUGUUGGUCAGGCAAAGCUGGGGCCAAUAUUAAUCAUGUGAAAAAGCGGGUGAAUGCCCUGACUGCCUAAAAAAAGGGCAAUAAAGGAAUGGCCAAUUUACGCAUGUCUAGGUCCUUCUCGAGGUUAAAAAGGGCUACUUAGAUCUAGAGAAGGAGAUCGCCAAGUCUUUAUACCUAGC
rnacentral:lncRNA from 1 species